AGCAGAGAUGCUUUGGUGCCUUCGGGAACUCUGAGACAGGUGCUGCAUGGCUGUCGUCAGCUCGUGUUGUGAAAUGUUGGGUUAAGUCCCGCAACGAGCGCAACCCUUAUCCUUUGUUGCCAGCGGCUCGGCCGGGAACUCAAAGGAGACUGCCGGUGAUAAACCGGAGGAAGGUGGGGAUGACGUCAAGUCAUCAUGGCCCUUACGGCCAGGGCUACACACGUGCUACAAUGGCGCAUACAAAGAGAAGCGACCUCGCGAGAGCAAGCGGGACCUCAUAAAGUGCGUCGUAGUCCGGAUUGGAGUCUGCAACUCGACUCCAUGAAGUCGGAAUCGCUAGUAAUCGUAGAUCAGAAUGCUACGGUGAAUACGUUCCCGGGCCUUGUACACACCGCCCGUCACACCAUGGGAGUGGGUUGCAAAAGAAGUAGGUAGCUUAACCUUCGGGAGGGCGCUUACCACUUUGUGAUUCAUGACUGGGGUGAAGUCGUAACAAGGUAAGCGUAGCGAG
rnacentral:rRNA from 1 species